rnacentral:lncRNA from 1 species
AUUAUUAAGUGUUACAGAUCCCAGAACACACACAGCUAUACAAGCUGAGAUAAAAAUCCAGAAAAACCAAAAAGAACCCAAAAAAAAAUACAUCAAGGUAGCAGAACAUGACUACCAAAAGAAACACUAGAACAUCCAUCACAGCACAUCAUCAGAAGAGUGGGGGACAACUUCAACAAAAAUAGUCAGAGGAGCUUGCAUCUUCAUCAGAACCAGAACUGCCACUUGUUUCAUCUUUAGAUU